rnacentral:lncRNA from 1 species
CCUCACACGGGGUGGACCUGUGGGGUUCAGACGGAAGGGGCUGCACUGACUGAUGCAACACCUCCAGCAUUUGAGCGGUUUGUGGACAUCAUCAUCACAAAACUGUGGAGUGGGUUGGCUGUGCUAACUGCCGACCGAGCACUGGAAGAAGAAAACGGCAGGCUCAGGACAGCCAGCUGGCAUGGGAGCCAGAGGACCUCUAUGGCGGUGAUGAGGGGCCUUCACACCCAGCAGCCAGCGGGCAGGCGAGAUCCGAGGGUGUGCAGAGGCUUGGUGACCAAGAGAUUUGUCCCCCAAGACUGUCUCACACUGUGACCAUUGGGUCUGCAACGCUGGCUGGUGACCAUUUCCCGUUUCUGGACUUACAGCUGAGAUCGACACACUUAGCUGGUAGAAUCCUCAUAUUUGUUCACGACCUAUGGAGUGGGAGCACUAUGGCGGAAAAGGUGACGAACUGAAGCUCAGCGAGACUAACUAACUCAUCCAAUUUGAUGUGGCCCAGGAGAGGAGGAACACUGCAGCGAAGCAAAACAGAAAAGAAGUAACAAAUAGGCCAGCAGGCACAUGCGCUGGGGGUCCUCUUUGUCUUUUUACACCCAGCGUCUAGAACAAUCGUGGCCCAUUACACUGCAGAUGCUCAAUUAACACCUGCUACAUUCCUGAAACUCGAGCCCCAGAAUCCUGAGACUGGAAUAUAAAACACAAGAUAUUACAUAAAAGAGGCCACCACAAGAUUAUUUUGAUUACUCCUUUACUUGGAGAGUUUUCUUUAAAAUCAAC